rnacentral:lncRNA from 9 species
AUUCUGUUGGGGGAGUUCCUGUUGUGGAGCAGCAGAAACAAUUCUGACUAGUAUCCAUAAGGAUGUGGGUUUGAUCCCUGGCCUCACUCAGUGGGUCUGGGAUCUGGUGGUGCUGUGAGCUGUGGCGUAGAUUGCAGAUGCAGCUCAGAUACAACCCCUAGCCUGGGAACUUCCAUACAGUGCGGGCCCUAAAAAGCAAAAAAAAAAAAAAAAAAAAAUCUGUGUGAACUCAGAUGGAAAGAUGGUCACGAAAAAUGAAAAAACCUAGAGGAGUUCCCGUCGUGGCCCAGUGGAAACGAAUCUGGCUAGGAACCAGGAGGUUGUGGGAUUUGAUCCCUGGCCUCAUUCAGUGGACUAGGGAUCCGGCGUUGCCGUGAGCUAUGGUGUAGUCACAGACGCAGCUUGGAUCCCAAGUUGCCAUGGCUCUGGUGUAGGCCAAGGCUACAGCUCCUUCUGGACCCCUGGCCCGGGGACCUCCAUAUGCCGAGGGUAUGGCUCUAAAACGCAAAAGAAAAACAAAAACAUUAAUAACUAAAAAAUGAAAAUACAUAGGUGUACAUGCCUGCUUAAUAAAAAAGAACUAGGGGGUUAUAUCAAGGAGUUAUUAGUGAUUUACUGUCUCUGCUUUUCAGCAUUCUCCAAGUUUUCUGCAAUAAGCAUGCUUUGCUUUUUGUUUAUUAGUUUUAAAAACAACAUAAAGAUAAUGACUUUUGUCCUGCCUGCUCAUGGGGUCUUGAGAGGAUUAUAUGAUGUCUGAAAUUUAAGCAAGACCUCAACCUUAGAGAGAGUGCCCCCCUUCCCCCCCCCCCCCCCCCCCCCCCCCCCCCGCCCCGGGCACAACUACUCUCUAGAGCUUUCGUUUUCCUGGAAAAACCUAGGAAUCUUUUCCUAGGAAGAAGGUAAAAAAAUUUCCCUUGAGGGGAGUUCCCCUCCUGGCUCAAUGGUUAACCAACAAACUAGUAUCUGUGAGGGCCCAGGUUCAAUCCCUGGCCUCUCUCGUGUUGUUCAGAUCCAGCGUGACUAUGGCUGCGGUGCAGCCACAGCUCCGAUUCCACUCCUAGCCUGGGAACCUCCAUUAUACAGCGGCCCUCAAAAAGGAGGGGGACCCCAAAAAUUCCUGUUCUGGAUUGCAAAGACUGUGUGGGUGGACCACCUAAGCAACACCAUUUACCUGAUGCCUUCCUUCCACUAAAACCUUCUCCUUCCCCAUUCCUUCAAAUAAGUCACCAAGUCCUGUCUUUUCCACUCCUGCUGCCACCUGCCUCAGUUAUCGCUCACCUGGACCGCUGCACUGGCCUCCUAAGCAGCCUGAUUAUCUUGCCGCUCCAAUCAAUUAUUCACGCUGCAGCCUGCAGCGGAGUGAUCAUCUCACCGCCCUGCUUAAACAUUUCCACUGGCUGCUUUACCCGCAGGGUGAGUUCUGUUUAACUUGGCGUCUGGCUUUUCUUGACCUGGCCUCUGCCUGCCAUUUUAGUCUCUUGGCACUUCCUCCAAAUGAAAUUACUUGCCGCUUCCCCAACGGACACCGUAUGGUUUUUCACGGCGCCAGGGCUUUGCACUAGCUGUUUUCUAUGCUUGGACUACACUUCCUCAGCAAGUAUUUACUGAGCAUGUAGUGAGUGCUGGGCGCUGAGAGACGAGAGGUGAGAGAGGUGACCAAGGCAGGCGUGAGCCCAGUCCUCCUAGAGGCAGAUGGAAGAAAGAGACCAAUAUAUCAACGUGUGAUUAUUAAUUAUAAGCAGACAUGGCGGGCAUUUGUAAAGGCUUGUUGAAAAUGUCCAUCAACCACAGCUUCGGAAAGUUUAGGAUUCGAAUUGUGCCCGGAGGAAGUGUGG